rnacentral:rRNA from 1 species
AUUGAACGCUGGCGGCAUGCUUAACACAUGCCAGUCGAACGGAAACACGCUGCUAGUUUGUGCUUAUUGGCGGCCGGUGGCGUAAGGCACAGGAACGUACCCGGCCCUUGGUUUUAGUUUGGCUUAAGGUAAGGGAACAUACUAUACGAUCGGAGACUACCAACGGGGGACAGCAUGGCAUCGUUGGAUCUGGCGGGAUUGUAUGAGCCGAUGUCGGAUUUGCUAGUUGGGGGGUUAAAGCCCCAGCAAGUCGACGGUCCGUAGCUGGCCUGAGAGGAGGAUCAGCCACACUGGAACUGAGACACGGUCCAGACUCCUACGGGAGGCAGCAGUGGGGAAUGGUGGACAAUGGGCGCAAGCCUGAUCCAGCAAUGCCGCGUGCGGGAAGAAGGCCUUCGGGUUGUAAAGUCCUUUUGUAGGGAACGAAACGCAUCUGGUUAAUACCCGGCGCUAAUGACGGUACCGGAAGAAUAAGCACCGGCUAACUACGUG